rnacentral:rRNA from 1 species
UACGGAGGGGGCUAGCGUUGUUCGGAAUUACUGGGCGUAAAGCGCACGUAGGCGGACUGGAUAGUCAGAGGUGAAAUCCCAGGGCUCAACCUUGGAACUGCCUUUGAAACUCCCGGUCUUGAGGUCGAGAGAGGUGAGUGGAAUUCCGAGUGUAGAGGUGAAAUUCGUAGAUAUUCGGAGGAACACCAGUGGCGAAGGUGGCUCACUGGCUCGAUAGUGACGCUGAGGUGCGAAAGCGUGGGGAGCAAACAGG